GGUCAAGCGAAUAAGCGCACACGGUGGAUGCCUUGGCGGUCAGAGGCGAUGAAGGACGUGGCAGCCUGCGAAAAGUAUCGGGGAGCUGGCAACAAGCUUUGAUCCGGUAAUGUCCGAAUGGGGAAACCCACCCGCUUGCGGGUAUCCUGCAGUGAAUACAUAGCUGCUGGAAGCGAACCUGGUGAACUGAAAUAUCUAAGUAACCAGAGGAAAAGAAAUCAACCGAGAUUCCGUAAGUAGCGACGAGCGAACGCGGACUAGCCCUUAAGCUGAUUUGGUUCUAGGAAAACGCUCUGGAAAGAGCGGCCAUAGAAGGUGAUAGCCCUGUAUCUGAAAGGGCCAUUUCAGUGAAGACGAGUAGGGCGGGGCACGUGAAACCCUGUCUGAACAUGGGGGGACCAUCCUCCAAGGCUAAAUACUACUGACCGACCGAUAGUGAACCAGUACCGUGAGGGAAAGGCGAAAAGAACCCCGGAGAGGGGAGUGAAAUAGAACCUGAAACCGUGUGCGUACAAGCAGUAGGAGCUCCGCAAGGAGUGACUGCGUACCUUUUGUAUAAUGGGUCAGCGACUUACUGUUCGUGGCAAGCUUAACCGUAUAGGGGAGGCGAAGGGAAACCGAGUCUGAUAAGGGCGCAUAGUCGCGGGCAGUAGACCCGAAACCGGGUGAUCUAGUCAUGCCCAGGGUGAAGGUGCGGUAACACGCACUGGAGGCCCGAACCCACUCCCGUUGCAAAGGUAGGGGAUGAGGUGUGAUUAGGAGUGAAAAGCUAAUCGAACCCGGAGAUAGCUGGUUCUCCUCGAAAGCUAUUUAGGUAGCGCCUCAUAUGUAUCCUCUCGGGGGUAGAGCACUGUUAUGGCUAGGGGGUCAUCGCGACUUACCAAACCAUUGCAAACUCCGAAUACCGAGACGGACUGUAUGGGAGACACACGGCGGGUGCUAACGUCCGUCGUGAAAAGGGAAACAACCCAGACCCACAGCUAAGGUCCCAAAUUUUGUGCUAAGUGGAAAACCAUGUGGAAAGGCACAGACAGCCAGGAGGUUGGCUUAGAAGCAGCCACCCUUUAAAGAAAGCGUAAUAGCUCACUGGUCGAGUCGGUCUGCGGGGAAGAUUUAACGGGGCUAAGCACAGAACCGAAGCUUGGGGUGCAUACUUUGUAUGCGCGGUAGAGGAGCGUUCCGUAAGCCGUUGAAGGUGGAUUGAGAAGUCUGCUGGAGGUAUCGGAAGUGCGAAUGCUGACAUGAGUAACGAUAAUGCGGGUGAAAAACCCGCACGCCGAAAGCCCAAGGUUUCCUUGCGCAACGUUAAUCGGCGCAGGGUGAGUCGGCCCCUAAGGCGAGGACGAAAGUCGUAGUCGAUGGGAAGCAGGUUAAUAUUCCUGCACCUCGCGUAAGUGCGAUGGAGGGACGGAGAAGGUUAGGUGUACCAGGCGUUGGUUGUCCUGGGGAAAGGCGGUAGGUUUGGAUCUUUGGCAAAUCCGGGAUCCUUUAAGACCGAGCACCGAGACGAGCCUUUAAGGCGAAGUCACUGAUACCACGCUUCCAGGAAAAGCUCCUAAGCUUCAGCUUACGCAGACCGUACCGUAAACCGACACAGGUGGGUAGGAUGAGAAUUCUCAGGCGCUUGAGAGAACUCGGGUGAAGGAACUAGGCAACAUGGCACCGUAACUUCGGGAGAAGGUGCACCCUUUUUGGUGGCUCGUGCGAGCUAUAGCUGAAGAGGGUCGCAGUAACCAGGCCGCUGCGACUGUUUAUCAAAAACACAGCACUCUGCAAACACGAAAGUGGACGUAUAGGGUGUGACGCCUGCCCGGUGCUGGAAGGUUAAUUGAUGGGGUCAGCCGCAAGGCGAAGCUCUUGAUCGAAGCCCCAGUAAACGGCGGCCGUAACUAUAACGGUCCUAAGGUAGCGAAAUUCCUUGUCGGGUAAGUUCCGACCUGCACGAAUGGCGUAACGACAGCGGCGCUGUCUCCACCCGAGACUCAGUGAAAUUGAAAUCGCUGUGAAGAUGCAGCGUUCCCGUGGCAAGACGGAAAGACCCCGUGAACCUUUACUAUAGCUUUACACUGAACGUUGAGUUCGUCUGUGUAGGAUAGGUGGGAGGCUAUGAAACCAUGGCGCUAGCUGUGGCGGAGCCAUCCUUGAAAUACCACCCUGUCGUGCUUGACGUUCUAACCUGGGCCCAUUAUCUGGGUCGGGGACCGUGUAUGGUGGGUAGUUUGACUGGGGCGGUCUCCUCCUAAAGAGUAACGGAGGAGCUCGAAGGUACGCUCAGCGCGGUCGGACAUCGCGCACUGUGUGCAAAGGCAUAAGCGUGCUUGACUGCAAGAUCGACGGAUCAAGCAGGUAGGAAACUAGGACUUAGUGAUCCGGUGGUUCUGUAUGGAAGGGCCAUCGCUCAACGGAUAAAAGGUACUCCGGGGAUAACAGGCUGAUACCGCCCAAGAGUUCAUAUCGACGGCGGUGUUUGGCACCUCGAUGUCGGCUCAUCACAUCCUGGGGCUGUAGUCGGUCCCAAGGGUAUGGCUGUUCGCCAUUUAAAGUGGUACGCGAGCUGGGUUCAGAACGUCGUGAGACAGUUCGGUCCCUAUCUGCCAUGGGCGUUGGAGAUUUGAGAGGGGCUGCUCCUAGUACGAGAGGACCGGAGUGGACGAACCUCUGGUGUUCCGGUUGUCACGCCAGUGGCAUUGCCGGGUAGCUAUGUUCGGAAGCGAUAACCGCUGAAAGCAUCUAAGCGGGAAGCGCGCCUCAAGAUGAGAUCUCCCGGGGCACAAGCCCCCUGAAGGAACCAUGUAGACUACGUGGUUGAUAGGUCAGGUGUGUAAGUACAGCAAUGUAUUGAGCUAACUGAUACUAAUGAUCCGUGCGGCUUGACCAU
rnacentral:rRNA from 1 species